rnacentral:rRNA from 1 species
UUCGCCCUUCGGUUGAUCCUGCCGGACCUGACUGCUAUCGGAUUGAUACUAAGCCAUGCGAGUCAUUGUAGCAAUACAAGGCAGACGGCUCAGUAACGCGUAGUCAACCUAACCUAUGGACGGGAAUAACCUCGGGAAACUGAGAAUAAUGCCCGAUAGAACAUUAUGCCUGGAAUGGUUUAUGUUCCAAAUGAUUUAUCGCCGUAGGAUGGGACUGCGGCCUAUCAGUUUGUUGGUGAGGUAAUGGCCCACCAAGACUAUUACAGGUACGGGCUCUGAGAGGAGUAGCCCGGAGAUGGGUACUGAGACACGGACCCAGGCCCUAUGGGGCGCAGCAGGCGAGAAAACUUUGCAAUGUGCGAAAGCACGACAAGGUUAAUCCGAGUGGUUUCUGCUAAAGGAACCUUUUGUUAGUCCUAGAAACACUAACGAAUAAGGGGUGGGCAAGUUCUGGUGUCAGCCGCCGCGGUAAAACCAGCACCUCAAGUGGUCAGGAUGAUUAUUGGGCCUAAAGCAUCCGUAGCCGGCUCUGUAAGUUUUCGGUUAAAUCUGUACGCUCAACGUACAGGCUGCCGGGAAUACUGCAGAGCUAGGGAGUGGGAGAGGUAGACGGUACUCGGUAGGAAGGGGUAAAAUCCUUUGAUCUAUUGAUGACCACCUGUGGCGAAGGCGGUCUACC